GCACACACAUUUUCACUGCGUGCAGUCAUCUCCUCCCUCCCCCCAUCCAUACCAAGGAAGGGGAGCAUGUAGUAGGGGCAUCCCAGGCUGUUCAAAAGAAUGGAGAUGGGACUUUUCUCUAUGGCCAGAGGGGACAGAUCUAAGGAGCCAACUGCCUCAAGCUGUAGCAGGGGAAAUUCAGCUUGGAAACUGGGAGGGGUUUUCUGACAAGGAGGGAGGCCCCGUCCUGGAACAAGCUGCUUGAAGAAGCUGUGAAAUUUCCAUCCGUGGAAGUUUUCGAGAGCAGGAAGAGGCUACGUUGGUCCAAGGAGAAAGCGAGAGAGAGAGAAAGAAAGAUUCAAUAGGUGUUGCUUCCUGGAAAGAAAGCAGGACCCUCCUGAAAUAGCUCCAUACACUAGUGAUGUAAGACAAAAGGAAAAGCAUGUCUCUCUGAGGACGGAUCGUUUUCCUAGAAAACUAAAUGGAAUGCUUCAACCUAAACGACAUGUAUUUGGCAUGCCUGAAGUAGGCUUUCAAAUUUUCACAAUUCAACAGAGAUAACAAAAACAAGCAGUUGAGAUGCUUCCGUUUCUUCUCUGAUAUUGGUGGCAGGACUCCAUGGGGAGAGAUUAGACCCCCUGCAUUUAAUCAGAGGAGAACUUUGAUACGCUGUCCAUAACAAAAUAUUAAAGGCAAAAUUGUAUUUCUGUGGGCCUCUCAGGUUUGGAAAAGUCACCUCAUAAACAUGGAACAACCAUCUAUUUGUGAGCUAAAGAGGGACAAGCAAAUGUUAAAGUCAGCGUUUUAAAUUGGGAUACCAUUUUAAUGACCUGUAAUUCAAAAAAGAUUGAAUUUUCUUUGGACUCCGCAGGGUACAUUCUCUUUGGCCUGCACAGCAAGUCUGGCAAUUUUCAGAUCAAACUUAUCUACAAUGUAAGAGUAUAUGGGAGGAGUAGGAGGGGAGCCUAAAAUAUGGUUAUAUAAUGAAAGCUUGUUUAAGGCUACCUCCUCUGCACAGUACACUGUGCACUCAUUAUAUAGUUACUUUUAUGUAUUAUACAUGCCACAUGAGGCUUCUGACACAUGUAGAACCCCCUGUCCCCCAAAUCCCUGGUGCUACAUGUGUCAGAAGUGUUUUUUUUUGUUUUUUAAGCCUUCCUCAGAUGUAUUGGGUGUUGGUUUCAGCCAAG